rnacentral:lncRNA from 1 species
GGGUUUUAAGCCACAAGUUCAUAAAACUAAGACUGCAAAAAUGAAUCGACUCCCAUCAAAAGAAAAGUGUCAUAUGACUAACUAGUCCAAUAGGAUCGUCAAUUCUUCAAGCUUCACCUUCUACACUCCGAGCCUCCGGUCCUUCACCACAAUCAUCUAAGGACCUGAAAAUGGUUAUUCUAUAACAAUGAGACUACAUCUUAGCAAAUUCUACCUCCUAAGACCCGAUUAGGAAGUCAAUACACUCAAGAAGCUGCCUAAACACAACACAAGUCAGAGGACUUACCUUAACCUCAGUUUCAUCUUGCAAAUCAACGUUAUUUACAAAUACCUUAUAUCACAUCACUCAAUCAAUUCAUAACAUCAGAUCAAAUCAUUGAGCAACCGACCUAGUCAAUUACAUGUCAUCUCGACUCUUUCUUAGUCGGCUCAUCUCAUUUACUCAAAGUCACUACUGAAUUACAACUCAGCAAGCACGGCCUACACAGUCAUCUCAAGCGAAUUGUUAAGUCGGGUUUUAAAUCACAAGUUCAUAAAACUAGGACUACACAGUCCAAUAGGAUCGUCAAUUCUUCAAGCUUCACAUUCUACACUCCAAGCCUCCAAUCCUUCACCACAAUCAUCUAAGGACCUGAAAAUGGUUAUUCUAUAACCAGUGAGACUACAUCUCAGCAAGUUCUAUCCCCUAAGACCCGAUUAGGAAGUCAAUACACUCAAGAAGCUACCUAAGCACAACAUGAGUUAGAGGACUUACCUUAACCUCAGUUUCAUCCUGCAAAUCAACGUUAUUUACAGAUACCUUAUAUCACAUCAUUCAAUCAAUUCAUAACAUCAGAUCAAAUCAUUGAUCAACCGACCUAGUCAAUUACAUGUCAUCUCGACUCUUUCUUGGUCGACUCAUCUCAUUUACUCAAAAUCACUACUGAAUUACAACUCAGCGAGCAUGGCCUACACAGUCAUCUCAAAUACUCAACUCCAAUGCCAAAUUACGGCUCAGCGAGCAUGGCCUACUAAAACUUUGGUGGUAAUGUUGAAUUAUGGUUCAGUGGGCACAUCUUACUAAUUCUUCGACGGUUAAUGCUGAAUUAUGGCUCAACGAGCACAACCGAUUCCAAGUUCGGUGGUGGUGCUAAAUUAUGGCUUAGCGAGCACGGCCUAGAUUAGGUGGUAACCUACGGAGCACUGGACAUAACCAUACUUUGGUGGUAAUGUUAAAUUACGGUUCAACAAGCACAAUCAAUUCUAAAUUCAGUGGUUUUCAUGCCCUAUUCCACACUGUCACACAUCCAUCAUACAUCAUUUCAUCUUUCAAUAGUCUUCUCAAUGCAACUAAUAACCCUCACACGAUUAAUUACUCUCAACCAAGGACUGUGUGCUUCACACUUAGAACCUUCAAUCAAAAUAAUAAUUGCCCUAUUUCCCUCGUAUUAACGAUACCCGAUAAAAAUUUAUCAUGUGGGUACACGAUCAGGCUUAGCUAAAAUAUCACAAUUUCACUUCCACAAUUUCCACAAUUUUAUAUCGUCCACCAAAAUAUUUUUGGCGUUGUAAACCGACGCUCGGUUAAUUUCUAAUCAAUUACCAAAAUUGAUUAAUUUAGGAAUAAAAUCCUAAAAAAAAAAAGUUAAGUAAAUUCAGCACAAAUCAAUGCUCAAAUAAAUAAACAUAUUGCACCACAAUGAUCAGCAUAAAAUUUCGGUCGUCGGCUAUCUCUGCCUAAUUCCGGAAAAUAAUUAAUUAAUUAAAUAAUUUCGAAAAUUAUUAAAUAAAUACAAUAAAUCCAAUUUAGGCCUGAAAUGCCUAAUUGGAAGCCGAAAUGAGCCUGGAAAAUUACUGAGACACGUUCAAUAAAUAAUAGAGCAUGUCUACUUGCUAACUAAGCUAACCAUUUUCCUAACAUGCAUAGGUAAAUCCCUAAUUUAAUUAUUCUAAUUUAAUCUAUCAACCUAAUUGCACUUAAUUAAAAAUAAUCAACCAUGAAGUAUCACUAGCAUACUAAUAAGGGAUUAGUGAGCAAAACUCACUUGUGCAAAGCGAGGACCGGAACAGCGUCGGCAGCCAAAUUCCGAAUUUUCGGCGGUGUUGACGGACACUUGGGCCAGACCAAGAAACCUUGCAAGCCCACAGAAAUUCCUUGGCUUAGACUUGGGCUUGGGCCUGCUGAAAAUGGACUAGCUUCAAGUGGACUGAAGUUGGUUGAAGCGGGCUUGAAAAAAGGCGUGGGCUUGUUGGACUGAAAUGCAACUGAACUGGGCUGAGCUUGAUGGAGAUGCUGGGCCAAAACCUGAGCUGGAUGGGCUGAAGCUUGCUGAGGACUUGGGCCGAUCGAAGGAGAAGUUGCUGGGCUGAAGAGGACCGAACAAAUUGUGAGAUGGGCUGGUCAAAGAGCUGGCUUUGUUGGCGUCGAUGCAAGGAAGGAGCUGCGGCGUCUUCGAUGGUCAUCAACCGGUGAGGAGAGCUCCUUUGAUUGACCGACGCAGGUGGAGGCGUGGACGUGCAGAGGCUGCUGAUGGGCUGGGCUUCACGCGAGCUGAAGACGAGAGGCGACGCGGGCAGCUUCGGUGGGUUUCGCUGGCGUGCGCUGGCCGCGUGGAGCUGAGGGCGGUCAACAGUUGGGCUUUCGGUGGGACAGCAAGUGGUGGACGCUGGAUUUCGAUGGAGUGAGAAGCGGACGAAGGGCAGCUUCGCGUGGGGACAGGCGGUCAACAAACGGCUUCGGACGUGGGGUGUUUAAAAACGUCGACCAAAGCUGCAGAGAGAGAGGGAUGCUUCGGUGGACUCUGUUGGAUUGUUGGCUUCGUGGAGAGGCCGCGUGGAGGAGGAGCGGUCAACAAAUGAUUCGGUGAGUGUCGAUGUUGACCAAAGAUGGUGGGGAAUUGGCAAGUGGCAGAGAGAGGAAAGCAGGGGAAAAAUAAAAGCUUCGGUGGAAGAAGACCAACGAAGAUGGGGCGGCUUCAGAGGGCAGUCAAGCAUCCAAGGAGACCAAAAUAAAAUAAAAGUAAAACAAGAGAAGAAUUGGGGAAGCGGACGCUCGAAGAGAAGAUGGAGACGGGCGGGCUAUGGUGUGCCCGUGAAGUUUAGAAGAAAAAGGCCAAAAGUCCACAAAAAUAUCUUAAUCAAUCAAAGCUUGGUCCCCCUUUGGUCUUCAAGCUUAUCACAUUGUCCCCUAUUACUUUCUUGCUUAGAAAUCCAUAAAUAAUCCAAUUUAAAUGUCAAAAAAUGCAG